rnacentral:rRNA from 1 species
AUGAGGGGCAAUACAGCGAUCGAUGCAACAUUGGGGGAGAGGAAAAUUUGGGACAUCAUCUGGAAGGCCAAUGUUCCUCAGAAGAUCCAUAUUUUUGCGUGGUGGGUUGCUACCAAUAGUUUGGCUGUCCAAGUAAACAGAGUGGCGCACUACCAAGCGAUUCUCAGUACAUACUCGAUAUGUGGAGUGGACGACGAGAAUACGUUUCAUGCGCUUGUUACGUGCCCCAAGGCUCGUGCGUUGCGUAUGGCCAUGAGAGGUAUUUGGGAGUUACCGAUGGAGGAUGCAUUUAGGUAUACUGGGUUGGAAUGGUUUCUUGUUCUUGAUUCAAAGAAUAAAAGGAAAAAUCCUAUGAGUGGUCUGAAAUGUGAUCCAAAUACUUUGGAAGUUCAGAUGGGUUGGAAGCCCCAACCUUCAGGUUAUAUCAAAAUUAAUGUCGACGCAAGCUUUGUGGAAAGUAUUAGCGCGGCAAGUGUGGGUGUGGUGGCUAGGGAUUUUGCUGACAAAGUCAUGAUCUCUUCGUGGGACUACAUUGUGAGGUGUAAUAGCAUGAAGGAAGCGGAACUCCGAGCUUGCAUUGCUGGUCUCUAUACAGGACACCAUGUCAAUCUUUUUCGUGCAACUAGCUUGUUGAUUUUGGAGAUCGCUGCGAUAGAGGUAGAAAUAUCCGACAUAGAAUACUAUGUUGUCACUGAUGCAUCCAUCAGCAGCGGUCCGACGGCGAGCCGGAGGAGGAUCUGUGGCACCACCUCGUCGGGCACGUACGGUGUCAAUCGACACUCUGCAGUCACAAGCUCGUCGAUUCCACGUUGCCGGAUUGCUGUCGCCCAUCUAUCCGUAACGAUGGGACGUCGUCUUCGUCAUCAUCUUCGUCUAUCCAUGACGACGGGACGUCGUCUUCAUCAUCUUCGUCGCGUUGAGGCUCAGAGCAGCAGCCACAGCAGGGAGAUCCGUAGGGAGAUGCUCCAAGAGAUCCUAGUGAAGCUGCCGACAAAGGACGUGGCCCGGUGCUGCUGCGUCUCGAGGCUGUGGCGCAGCGUCGUCAGCGAGCCCUCCUUUCGCCGCCUACACGCCGCCAACUACGUGACCGCCUUGUCGGCGGACGCGGACGUCUUGUUCGUCUUGAAGACGUGUGAGCCGGGCCGGAGCGACGAGGCCAGCGUCUUCAGCAUGUCUUCGGGCAAGGCCAUGUUCUCCUUCGACAUCCCCAGCGGCUACGACCUCGCCAACGUCUGCAACAGCCUCCUCUGCUACGUGCACGGCAGCGGCCCCGAGGCGCCGGCGGUGGUGUGUAACCCUGUCACCGGCCAGACGCUGGCGCUUCCCAAGGCGCCGCCGCUCACAGGAAC